UACGAAGGGGGCUAGCGUUGCUCGGAAUCACUGGGCGUAAAGGGUGCGUAGGCGGGUCUUUUAAGUCAGGGGUGAAAUCCUGGAGCUCAACUCCAGAACUGCCUUUGAUACUGAAGAUCUUGAGUUCGGGAGAGGUGAGUGGAACUGCGAGUGUAGAGGUGAAAUUCGUAGAUAUUCGCAAGAACACCAGUGGCGAAGGCGGCUCACUGGCCCGAUACUGACGCUGAGGCACGAAAGCUAGGGUAGCGAACGGG
rnacentral:rRNA from 1 species